rnacentral:rRNA from 1 species
UGCAAGUCGAACGAAACUUUCUUACACCGAAUGCUUGCAUUCACCGUAAGAAGUUGAGUGGCGGACGGGUGAGUAACACGUGGGUAACCUGCCUAAAAGAAGGGGAUAACACUUGGAAACAGGUGCUAAUACCGUAUAUCUCUAAGGAUCGCAUGAUUCUUAGAUGAAAGAUGGUUCUGCUAUCGCUUUUAGAUGGACCCGCGGCGUAUUAACUAGUUGGUGGGGUAACGGCCUACCAAGGUGAUGAUACGU